AGUGAACGCUGGCGGUAGGCCUAUCACAUGCAAGUCGAACGGCAGCACAGUAAGAGCUUGCUCUUACGGGUGGCGAGUGGCGGACGGGUGAGGAAUACAUCGGAAUCUACUUUUUCGUGGGGGAUAACGUAGGGAAACUUACGCUAAUACCGCAUACGACCUACGGGUGAAAGCAGGGGAUCUUCGGACCUUGCGCGAUUGAAUGAGCCGAUGUCGGAUUAGCUAGUUGGCGGGGUAAAGGCCCACCAAGGCGACGAUCCGUAGCUGGUCUGAGAGGAUGAUCAGCCACACUGGAACUGAGACACUGUCCAGACUCCUACGGGAGGCAGCAGUGGGGAAUAUUGGACAAUGGGCGCAAGCCUGAUCCAGCCAUACCGCGUGGGUGAAGAAGGCCUUCGGGUUGUAAAGCCCUUUUGUUGGGAAAGAAAAGCAGCAGGUUAAUACCCCGCUGUUCUGACGGUACCCAAAGAAUAAGCACCGGCUAACUUCGUG
rnacentral:rRNA from 1 species